rnacentral:rRNA from 1 species
CCUACGGGGGACAGCAGUGAGGAAUAUUGGUCAAUGGACGCAAGUCUGAACCAGCCAUGCCGCGUGCAGGAAGACGGCUCUAUGAGUUGUAAACUGCUUUUGUACGAGGGUAAACGCAGAUACGCGUAUCUGUCUGAAAGUAUCGUACGAAUAAGGAUCGGCUAACUCCGUGCCAGCAGCCGCGGUAAUACGGAGGAUUCAAGCGUUAUCCGGAUUUAUUGGGUUUAAAGGGUGCGUAGGCGGUCGGAUAAGUUAGAGGUGAAAUCCCGAGGCUCAACUUCGGAAUUGCCUCUGAUACUGUUCGUCUAGAGAGUAGUUGCGGUAGGCGGAAUGUAUGGUGUAGCGGUGAAAUGCUUAGAGAUCAUACAGAACACCGAUUGCGAAGGCAGCUUACCAAGCUACUUCUGACGUUGAGGCACGAAAGCGUGGGGAGCAAACAGGAUUAGAUACCCUUGUAGUC